rnacentral:lncRNA from 1 species
AAAUUUCAAAUCUCAUUUCCACGCAUUACUGACUUGUACGUUAUAUUUGUACCAUGUACAUGGAGUGCUUAUAUGGUUUUUGUUUUUUAGACACGUUUGCUUCAUUGUUGAGUUGUACAGUACAACCCAACCAUGCAUUGAAGAGUUGUACGAAAACGUACUAUCGGCUUAUGCUUGUACUGAAAAAUGAAGAUGACAAAUCACAUAUAUAUCAUGUUCAUUUAAGAACUCAUACGCUUUUUAGAUGCCUAAGUAGUCCACUAAAUCAAUAUUUGAUGCAGAGUUUAGUUGUACCGUACAACACAUUAAUGCAGCGGGAUGAAAAAAACAGAAGCAUGGUUGAUUUGUACAAUAUAGCCCAUCACCUAUAAUAGCCUAUGCUAUGCAUUGUAGGUCCCACGUAAAAUUAUUUUCUUCAUUUUCUAUUUGUACCAUGUACAUGUAGAUAUGUGGAUGCGUUUUUAGUUGUAAUGUACAACCCAACAAUGCAGGUUCUUUAUGUAAAUGCAUAUAUACGUAGAGAGAGAGAGAGAGAGAGAGAGAGAGAAUAUACCCGGAAGAGGAGUGGCACCCAAGAGUGUAUCAACGCCCUUGUACUUGCAAGCCUUGCAGUAAACAACACCCUGAACAGCCACCAACUUCCUCGCCGGGAUCGGAGCUAGGAACGGUGCCGGUGAGGAACUCGGUGGGUGAACAGGUGCCUUGGUGGGUGCCUGAACAGGUGCUUUAGUGGGUGGGUGAACCGGAGCAUGAACAGGAGCUUUCGUCGGCGCGUGAGCCAUGGGAGGCGAAGCAAGUUUGUGAUGGUGACCAACACCAGGUUUGUGGUGGUGGUGAUGGUGGUGAGGUGCCGGAGCUGCCACUGGUUGGUACGACGGAGCGUGGUGUGGCGCUUGUGUCCAGCUGACAUUGUCGUCGACACCAUCACCAAACACAUUCAUCGUCAAGCAUAAGCUCAGCAGCACUGCUGAGAGUAGAACCCUACUCCCCAUUGUAGAAUGUGUUGUUGGUGUUUGUGUGUGAGAGAGAACUAGAGAGAGAGUGAGAGGACGGUGGAAAUGGUGAGAAUGGAGUGGUGACAUUUAUACAGGGUUGGAAGGGUAGCUCUUGACAUUUUAUGACACAUUUACGUGUUAAAAGCAGAGGUGAAUGGGCCCUAGUAAAUACGAACUCGAAAAAAGAUGCAUGAUUUGUUUCGAUGCGUUUCACAAAAGUGCUUUAUUGCGCUAUAAAUAAUUGUUUUUUUAUAUAUAAAAUAACUUUUACUAUGGGUCGACGUGAAUUGAAGUCCCUAAAACAACAUUUAAGAUUUGUUAUUGACCUCUAUUAUGUUAUAUUUUUAUAAGAAUACAAUUGAAUCUAAGUUAUUUGUAAUGUUUUUUUGUAUGACAAAUUUCUUGGGCGGUGAUUGUGUAAAGAAAAGGAUAACACACCAAGUUUUAAAUGCAUAAACUUUGAUUGCGGGAGCGUAUAGUUUUUUAUGGACAUGCGGUGAGUCAUAAUGACAUGAUGGAUGCAAUAAUGAAAUAGGAAUUAUCGAGUAAUUUCACAACAAAAAUUAGGAGCUUAAUGGUUUUGAUAGGUUAAUAAGGGAAAAAAAUAAGGAAGGUUUAUUAGAAAAAUGACACUGACAGACUCCGUUCACUAGCUAGUGACUAGUUUAAGAAACAUGAAAAAUCGUUUUGGAAGAGAUGCAACUAUGCUAGAAAAAGUCCUUCAUACGUUUAACAGAAGCAUGUUGGCAUACGUUUCACAUAUUGUCUAAUGAGCCUUUUGGAUUAAUAUCUUGAAUAGGGUUUGGUAAUAGCCAAUCUUAUUAGUCGUUUUUAAAUUUUAAAUUUUAACUAGGAGAUGUUGGCAAUAAUGGUGUCUGUUUGGUUCUUUGGGUUAAUAGACCUUAAAGAAAGAUUUGGUAAUUUCCAAAUUCCAAGUACAAAUGACUUAGAAAUCAAUAUAUGUCAUGAACAUAAUAUAAUAUAACAUGUUAACUGAGUGACAAUUAAAUUAUAUAAUGGAUCAUUAGAAUAAUAAUUCUAAGUUGAAAAUAAGAAAUGUUGCUUUCAAAAAAAUUACGAAUAUAAGUAAUUAUCUGAAAUAAUAGUUUUUAAAAUAUUAAUAUUUGUUGAAUAUUGUUGUGUUAAUGGUUGUUGUUAAAACUUAUGUAUCUUACGUGAUGAAAGUGUUACGUGUUUUGCAUUAUGACAUAUACUUUCGGUACCGUAUAAAAAUUGAUUGCUCUAGUAUAAUAUCUAGCGUUUUUGAAGAUGAAAAUGUUACGUGUUUUGUUUUAUGACAUAUACUUUUGGUAUCAUAUUAAAAUAGAUUGCUCUAGUAUAAUAUCUAGUGUUUAUGAAGAUUACAUAUGAGACUUUUGGGAUUAGAAAUGGAAAGUGUCGUUGAACGAGUUUAUGGAUUUGUUAACAUUGUAUAACUUAUAAUGCUUUGACUUUUUGAUAUGAUAUUGUUGUAAACCCCAAAUAAAGAAUAAUAUUCCAAACAUUUCAAAGUAAAUUUUCUUUGGAAUCAAUUUAUAUAAAGCAUUACCUAAUGUUUUUUUUAAAUGACAUUUUCAUGAUCUAAUAAGGUAAUGAAAAUUUCGGUCACGACUAAGCCUCACACGUUGUCUGACGCUGAAUUUGAUGUUGGGAGAAAUCCAUGUCAAAUAUGAAGAUUGCAAGAAUAAAAAGUAAUUUAUAAUUAUAAUAUAUAUCAUUUCAUUCCAUAAGGAUUGGAAAAAAAAAAACACCCCUCUCCUUUAGAACUCGAUCAUAAUCGGAAUUUCAUUCCUCACACUUCAUGCUAUUCCUCAGUGGCAACCAAAGACGAAGAUUUUAUGCAUAAAAGUAAUUCUUAAAGUAAAUUAUUGUAACGCCUUGUUCCGAAUUGUUUCUUAUUUAGAGGCGAGUGAUGUAAUUUGGAUGAUUUGGGUGUUAGGUUUGUGUUUUGGAGCCAAUGGGUAUUUUCGGUAAAGUGUCAGUUCAUGUUUUAUGGAAUUGAAUCAUUGUUCGGGAAAUUUUAUGGCAUGUAUAAGUUGAUAAAAGCGUAGAGCCUCUUGCUACGUUUUCAUGGAUAUAAGGAUCAUCAGAGUAUUUUAGGGUUUAAGAAGAAACCCUAGUUUGUGGGUCGUACAUAGGGAGUAUGUGGGACGUACUGGUGCGAAGUGUAGUACGUGAGGCGUACUUUGGUGUACGCUUAGCGUACUACGAAGGAUGGAUCGGGAGUGUGAGGCCAUGUAUGUUGGGCGUACAAGGAUUAUGCGGGGCAUACGAGGAAUAGUGGAAACCUUAAUUUUAAGUGUGUGUUCCCUAUUUAAGCAUCUUAAGUCUUUAGGGUUGGCCUCUUUACCAUCCCCCAAGCCUCUUAAAACCCUAAAUUGACCCUUAGCCUCCAUUAAUGUGCAUUUGAGCUCUUGAGGAAAAUUUGAUGUUGUUUUGCUCAUUUUUAAAGAGAUUGAAGAAGGAUGAAGGUUCAUAGCUUGGUGGGGAACUUAGAGAUCCAUAAUCAUUCAUCACAUUGCAAGCCCUUGGAAGUAUCAAGUUCAAAUCUUGACUUGUUAAUGUUUGGAUCUCUUGUUGUCUUGAUUUUCAUGCUUUUGGCUCCCUUUUUGGGUUAAUUGAUGAGUUAAGUUGUUUGAAUGACUUAUUCUUCUGGAUAUGAGUUGUUUUGAGGUUCUUAUGCAUAAAGGUGCAAGCUUUAUGAGGUUUAAGGUCACAUGCAUGUGUUAACUCACCCAAUAGUCCUUUUCAGCUUUAAGAGCUUCAUUUAGUCAUGCAUGAAUGUAAAGUUGACAACUUUGUGCGAUUAUCUAGCCUAAGGAAGUCAGAUCUAUGUUUUGGAACAAUGUCUUAAGGGAUUAAGGGUUGAAUGUGAAAGGUGGUUGUUCAGGAGGAGUAUGUUGGGCGUACAAGCCUGUACGCGCAGGAUACAAGCCUAUACGUGUAGCAUACAAGCUCUAAAGCAUGUACGCUUAAUAUACAGCUGAAUACGCCCCGCGUACUUAGCAGAGUGGGCCUCGAAUCUUUGGUCUUCGGUUUGUGCCAUGUUUUGGGAUUUGAUGUUUAGGGUUUUGUUGGGCCAUCUGAUUUCUGGUGUUUUGGGCUGGGUAUAUUAUUGGGCCUUGGGUUAAGGCCCAUGGAAGCGAUUUUGGCCCAAUUUGGAAAACUGGGCCAUGUUUGGGCCUUGGGUGUCUAUUUGAAAUUGGGCUUUUGGAUUGUUGGGUUGGGCCUUGGCCUUGUGCCAAGUUAUGGAGAGGACAAAAAGGUCUUUUACCCUGGUUCAGACAUUUUAUAUGAGUCGGGAUCCCAGUAUUUAUUUGGAUUAUGUUUUGUGAUUAUAACGUGGGGAUUUUAGCGGGUCAGCAACUAGAGAUUUAUCUGCGAGAUUCAGAAGUGUAAGGUGAGUCUCCUCACUUAAUUUAGCGGUUCAAAGGCAUCAAUGUCGGCCCAUGGUUUAUAUGUUAGGAUGUUACAUGUCUGUAUGACUCUUGCAUGUGUUAUGUGAUGGUACCGGGCAAGGCCCAAUGCCAGGUGGGGCCUGAUAAGUAUAAUGUAUGCUAGUUAUCAGUAGGUGUUCUCCAUAUGGUAUAUGUUUGGGACGUUUUAAUUAUAUUUUUGUCGGCCCAUGGUUUAUAUGUUUGGGACGUUUCAAUUAUAUUUUGCUCCAUAUGGUAUACAUAUUUAUGUAGGUUUGGUCGUAGUUUUUAAAAUUUGCCAUGAGUUGUCCUCAUGGUUGUAAAAUCCAUCAAAAAUGUCCUCUCACUAUGUUACUGACUAUAUAAAUAUGUUAAAGAAACAUCAUGUGCUUCUCAUAAGAGGGCAUUUUGCUAUUUUCCUCCCUUUUUUUUUGUCUCUAACGACUUUAUGCCGUUAAUAAGUUUAUUUAUUCCUACGAUUUGCAUAAUUUGUCCCUAGGAUAAAGUUUCCAUUAUUCACCAAAGAAAAACUAUCCAUAUUCUUGAUUUUCAUCAAAUAGUUACUCCUUUUGUUAGUCUACUGCAACAAAAAAAUUCAAAACAUUUUUGAAGGAUCGGUAUUAAGAGAGAUAAAAUGAUUUGUUAAUAUAUUAUAUGAUUAACAUAUUAAUCAUAAUUACUCAAUAAUUAAUUAAGAAUUAAUCAGAAUUAAUUUUGGGUUAAUUAGAAUUAACUAAAAUGUGAAAUUAUCCAAUAGUUUAACAAGGAAGGAAAUUCUAAAACCCUUCUACCUAUGUUCGGUUUUGGUGUCGCUUAGGAAAGGUUAUGGAAGCAAUCUGAUUCCAAUAAGGAAAUUGCAUUUGAAUCAGAUUAAAAUAUUAUUAUUUCAAUAUUCAAAUUUAGGGUUUCAGGGUUAGCAAUAUAAAUGGUCUUAACCGUAAGCAAAGCCGAUCCCUAACCUCCUCAAUAAAGAAUUUGAAAUUCUCCCUCCCCCUAUAUCCUAAAUAUCGCUCCUAGGAUUUCCUACGGUUUUGGGUGCGAUUUAUUAGUAGCUACCACACUAUUGGAGCUAAGUUUUCCAAAUGAGAUCUACAAGAAGGUUUCUAGCAUCAGUUGUUUGUUGCUAAAUGUAUGAUUCUAACCCUAAGUAAUUUCAAUUAUAGUAGGUUAUAAGUUGUUUCUUAAAGUAUGUAGCUAUAAUAGUGAAAAUGCCAUAAAAGUUCUAGGUUGCAUUUGCUCAUAAGAGUUUAUGUGUAAAAUCCUUUAUGCGGAUCUUUUUAUUGUAACAUAGAAAACCCAUCAGCUCCAACCAACAAUGUGGAACUUAUGAGUAUUAAAACAUGUUAUUAAUGUUAAAGAAUCUUCUAGUAAGUGUUUAUUGUCCCACCAUCGUAGGGAUUUGCAUAAAAUACUCUCCAUUUGUUUGUUAUUUUGUAAAGGGUUUUGAACGGUACUUCAUGAUGCAAAUCAACCAUGAUGGGUUUUUUUCAAAAGCUCCAAUAAUAAAAUACAAUGGUGAUAAGGUUACAUACAUUGAAAAUGUGGAAAUUGAAGAGUUUUCUAUAUAUGAAUUAAAUGUUGUGGUGUAAGAAUUAAGGCAUCUCAAACAUGAGCCUAUUAUCAUUUCUUCAUGCCUAAAGGUUAGCUUGUUUUUGGUUUUUAACUACUUAGCAAUGACCAAAUGUGAUUAAUCUUUCAAGGUGUAUAGGGAAAUUAAAGAGAUAAAUAUUUGCACUAGACAUGGUAAAAUCCAGCUACAUACAUACUUCAUGCCCCAUGUUAAAGUUAUUAUCCAAGAAAUUGAAAAUUCUUCAUUCCUAAGAUAUAAUAGGAACAAAAAAAGAUGAUAGAAACGGGUUCAUAUAUUGAGAAUCUUAAUUUUCACUUUAACACACCAUUGUAUUUUUCCCAAGUCAUUCAUAUUAAUGCACAUGAUCAAACAUUAAAUGGCAUAGUUUAUUUCUAUAGAACCGGUAAAAAUUAAAUGGAAUCCUUAGUUGUUGAUGAAUAUUUUGGUACAAGAUCAAGGUCAUGCUCAAGCUUUGCCACACGAGUUAAUUACUACCCUUAUUGUUGAACAAGAAUCAGGUCGUGAUCAAGUUUCGACACAAUAUUUUAUUAAUCCCUUUGUUUUUUAACAUUAAGUCACAGACAAAGUAAUGUUAACGAUCCCAUGUUUGAUUAAGAAGACUUGACUUUUCGACCCAUUCUUUGACUUAGGAGAUAAUGAUAUAUCAUAUGAGGAUAUAAUAGAAGAGGAUUAUGAAGUUGAAAAUCAAGUUGAAUAUGAACCACAAGUUAAAAAGACAUUAGGGGCAUUUGUUGAUGACAUGUAUCAAGAUCAUGCAUCAAGUUAUGAGAGUAAUAAUGAUGAUAUCAUAUUUGAUAGUGACUUUUAAUUGGAAGAUCAAGAAUUAAUAAAAGAUUUAGACAUAGACAUGGUUGAUCCAGUAGUUUAGGGUUUUGGUAGGUAACAAGACAAUGAUGUGGAUACAUACUUCAAACCAAACUAAUAUUGAAGUGAUAGAGACAACAUAGUUCAUAUUUUAUGGUAUAAAAUAGUAUAGAAGAAAUCGGAUAUUAUCAAACCUAAGGCAAUCAAGGACAUGCUUGGCAACUGAAGUGAGUGAGGAUAGGUUCUCACUUGGUGAAAUGUUUAUAAACAAGAAACAUAUGAAAUAGGUAAUUACUAAUCUUGAAAUAGAAAGUAUAAGAUAUUGACAUAUUUUCAAAAAUAAUAAAGUCUAAAUAAAGGUUGUUUGUAGAGGCUUCGUGACAAAUUUAAAUGAAAGUGGUCCAUCUAAAAGCAUUAAAGACAAAGGGAAACUUAAGUUGGUAAAAUCAAAUAGUAUUUAAUUUCCUUUAAAUACUUCAUACUUCUAUGUUAAAGAAACAAGAUGAUUCAAUGGUUAAAAAGACAUUAUAAUGUGAGAGGAAAAGAGAGGAAAAGACAAACAUGUCCAUGUAUAAGGGGCACACGAUGCCUCUUUAAUAGACUUUGUUAGAAAAUAAUAGAGGGAGGGACCGUUAUUGAUAGAUUUACUAAUCAUGAUGACCACUAGUGUCAAAUUUCAAAAACUAUGAACAAACCUACAUAAAGGUAUACCAUAGGAACCAAAACUAUAAUGUACUCUACACAAAACUACAAAAUUCUUCCUUGUGGUUUGCAAAAAAAAAAAACUAUGGAUAGGGUCUAAAACGUUUUCGAAUUGCAUAAAAUGUCCAAAAUCAGGAAAUUCCUAUGAUUUUGGUCCAUGGAAAACUUGAAAUGACAGCUUUUCCAUUUUAAUUUAUGUUUUAUGUUUGUUUUAUAUUUUAUUAACUAAAAAUAACAAACAUGUUCCCAACCUUUCUCUCUCUCUCUCUCUACCAAACAUCUUCCUUAUCCCUUCUUGUUUUUUCUCCCCUUAAUUCUAAUUUGGAAGAUAAUUCCGGAAUUCAAAAACUUGUAAUCCAUAUGUAACGUAAUACCCAUUUUUCAUUCUUGUAACCCAUAUAUAAGUUCAAAAUUCAUAUGAUACACAUAUGUGCAUUCAAUCGUACCAAGAGAGAAAGAAGGGAGAGAGAGACUCCAAAUAUGAAAUCCUUGAUAGUACAUGAAAGUUGAUCUUUAUCCUAUCCAAACUGAGUAAAUAUUAUGAGAUCAAGUGAAACGACCCAAAAAUACGGUUCGAAAUUUUCAUUUUUAAUAUAACCAAAAAUCAUAAAACUGAGUAUAUCAUAAUAAGACCAUGCGUUGCGUAUCUCAAAACCAUACUAAAAUAUUGUAAAAAGUAAACUGUGCCACAACUGUAUCAAAACAUAUCUAAGAAAACUGAAUCAACUCCCAGGAUAAAAACUGAAGCUAUGGUGUGUGCGAUGCCAUCAUCCCGAGCUCUUCCCUUUGCUUGUGGAAGUACCUGAAACCAAAACUGAAACUGUAAGCACGAAGCUUAGUGAGCUCCCCCAAACUACCACAUACCACACAAUAACAUAUAAAGCACAUACUGGGCCUUGCCCACUGCAUCAAACCGAAGUCCGACUAACUGGGGCCUUGCCCCCUACAUCGGACCGAAGUCCGAAGCUAACUGGAACAUCGGACCGAAGUCCGAAGCUGACUGAGACCCUCGUCCCCUACAUCGAACCAAGUCCGAAGCUGACUAGGACAUCAGACUGAAGUCCGAAGCUGACUGGGACCUACGUCCCCUACAUCGGACCGGAGUCCGAAGCUGACAUCGGACCGAAGUCCGAAGCUGACUGAACAAAGCAUAAACAUAUCAUCUACCAUAAACACAUAACCCUGUCUGAACCACGAAGGCAUCAAACAUACUAACUACUACAUCGGACCGAGGUCCGAAGCUGACUGCUAGCUAAACGGGUCGACAUUGUGGCCUUAGACCCAUUACUACUGGAAGGAAACUCACCUCGUGAACUGGCUGCUGUGUGAAUGGCUCUGGAAGCUAACUGUUGCUGCUCCGGUAUCUCCCCGGCUACAAGGCCAUAAACACACUCAAUCAAAUACUAAACACUGCACUGGGGUAAAAUAACUCUUUUACCCUUGGUCAAAGUCAACUCUCCCGGUCAAAGUCAACCCACAGUUGACCUGACUCGCCGAGUUGGGCCACCAACUCGCCGAGUCUCUAAUCUCAUUUCACAACCCCACUCGUGGCUACUCGUCGAGUAUGGCAUCGACUCGACGAGUACUCUCUCAAUCCAAGAACUCAGACAAUCUUCAUCCGACUCGCCGAGUCAUAUGAACAACUCGACGAGUUGUUCUUGAGCUUAAGAAGAUUGCCUUGGACUCGCCGAGUUGUAUGAACAACUCGCCGAGUCCCUCCAUUACUGAGUCUACCCUCAAACUCGCUGAGUCCACUCCACUACUCACUGGUCCCACUCGACACCGCUCAAAAGGAAGAAAUCGGGGACUCGCGACUCGACUCGCCGAGUCGUUCUUCCGACUCGCCGAGUCACAGCCAUGCAACUAUUCUACACUCGAUUCUGCUCGAAUCCAAAACAUACAAAUGAUAGAUCUGAGUCCAAUAAGCUGAUUUACCACGUAAAGUUUCCAACUUUACGUGUACAAACACAUGAACAAGGGAAUAAAGGCUAAAAGAUGCUUAAAAGGGGUAGAUCUAGGGUUAAUAUGCAAAAUAGCUCCAUAAAGGCAAUAGAUCUGGGCUCUACAACUCCUAAAUGAACAGAUCUAAGGAUAUCUCGACAUAAUAGGGCUUCCAUAUCAACAUAAGGCUUGAGAAAAGCAUCAACUAGAUCUAGAAGGGGUUUUAAAGCAUAAAAGGGAAGGAAAUCUGAAGAAUACCUCAAAGAGCUCUUGCUUUCCCUUGAAUCUCUGCUCUACAAUCCUUCUCCUUGCUCCUUUCUUCUUCUCCUUCUUCAAGCCUUCACAAAUGCACACAAGAUCACUUAAAACACUCAAGAUCGAAUUAGGGUUUUCUCACAGCUUUAGAGGGUGAAGGAGGCGAGAUUGGGGGCUAUAAGGUGGCUUAAAUAGUGGGCAACCCGGGGAUUUAGGGUUUCUCCCAGACGGACAGACUCGCCGAGUCCAGAAUAUGGACUCGCCGAGUCGCCAGCUAACACGUGCUCGAAAUCCCGACCCUACUCGGCGAGUCAGGCUAUGAACUCGCCGAGUCCCUCUUGCAAAACUUCAAAAUAAAUACCAAGGAAUUAUCAUACCGGAGACGGGUCGUUACAAUUCUCCCCCACUUAUCUCAGACUUCGUCCUCGAAGUCUGCUACGGCUGAAUCUGCAAAUAUCUCUGGGUAGUGCUCCCUCAUCUCCUCCUCAGCCUCCCACGUCCAUUCCGAUCCCUUCCGGUGCUGCCACUGCACCUUCACUAACUGAAUUACCUUGUUCCUCAAGGUCUUGGUCUUCCGGUCCAGAAUCGCGACCGGCCUCUCAAUAUAAUUCAGGCUACUAUCAACCUGAAUAUCCUCUAGGGGAACGACUGCUGACUCAUCCACCAAACACUUCCUCAACUGAGACACAUGGAAAGUGUUGUGGAUCUGACUAAGCUCCUCAGGAAGAUCUAACCGAUAAGCAACCCGACCCACCCGGGCCAAAACCCUGAAAGGACCAAUAAAUCUGGGGCCCAACUUGCCCCUCUUCCGGAACCUGAUGACACCCUUCCAAGGUGAGACCUUCAGAAGGACCAUAUCCCCCACCUGGAACUCCAAGUCCGAACGCCUCCUAUCGGCGUAGCUUUUCUGCCGACUCUGAGCAGUCUGCAGUCUACUACGGACCUGCUGGAUCAACUCAGUCGUCUUGAGCACCACCUCCGUGCUCCCGAUGACCCGCUGACCGACCUCGCCCCAACAAAUCGGGGUCCUACACUUCCUCCCAUACAGCAUCUCAAAGGGAGGUCGAUCAAUGCUCGCAUGAUAACUGUUGUUAUACGAGAAUUCCGCUAACGGAAGAUACGUAUCCCAACUGCCACCGAAAUCUAGGACACAUGCCCUAAGCAUGUCCUCGAGAGUCUGAAUCGUCCUCUCGCUCUGCCCGUCUGUCUGAGGGUGGAAAGCGGUGCUGAAAUGGAGACGAGUACCCAUCUCGUCGUGGAACCGCUUCCAGAAUCUGGAUGUGAAACGGACAUCUCGGUCUGACACCACCGAUACCGGCACUCCAUGACGUGCCACAAUCUCUCGCACAUAGAUAUCGGCUAACUUCUCCGCCGAUAUACUCUCCUGGAUCGGGAUAAAAUGGGCACUCUUCGUCAACCGAUCCACUACUACCCAUAUCGAAUCCACUCCUCGUGCGGUCCGGGGAAGCUUGGUGACAAAAUCCAUGGUAAUGUCCUCCCAUUUCCACACGGGAAUGUCUAACGGCUGCAUCCUGCCGUGAGGUCUCUGGUGCUCCGCCUUGACCUUCCGGCAGGUCAGGCAUCUCUCGACGUACCAGGCGACGUCCCGCUUCAUGCAGGGCCACCAAUAAUCAGGUCGAAGAUCUCGGUACAUCUUCGUCGCCCCUGGGUGGAUAGA